rnacentral:rRNA from 1 species
GAUGAACGCUGGCGGCGUGCCUAAUACAUGCAAGUCGAGCGAACAGAUGAGGAGCUUGCUCCUCUGACGUUAGCGGCGGGCGGGUGAGUAACACGUGGAUAACCUACCUAUAAGACUGGGAUAACUUCGGGAAACCGGAGCUAAUACCGGAUAAUAUAUUGAACCGCAUGGUUCAAUAGUGAAAGACGGUUUUGCUGUCACUUAUAGAUGGAUCCGCGCCGCAUUAGCUAGUUGGUAAGGUAACGGCUUACCAAGGCAACGAUGCGUAGCCGACCUGAGAGGGGGAUCGGCCACACUGGAACUGAGACACGGUCCAGACUCCUACGGGAGGCAGCAGUAGGGAAUCUUCCGCAAUGGGCGAAAGCCUGACGGAGCAACGCCGCGUGAGUGAUGAAGGUCUUCGGAUCGUAAAACUCUGUUAUUAGGGAAGAACAAAUGUGUAAGUAACUAUGCACGUCUUGACGGUACCUAAUCAGAAAGCCACGGCUAACUACGUG